rnacentral:rRNA from 1 species
UCCGCCUGGGGAGUACGACCGCAAGGUUGAAACUCAAAGGAAUUGACGGGGGCCCGCACAAGCGGUGGAGCAUGUGGUUUAAUUCGAAGCAACGCGAAGAACCUUACCAGGUCUUGACAUCCUUUGACCACUCUGGAGACAGAGCUUUCCCUUCGGGGACAAAGUGACAGGUGGUGCAUGGUUGUCGUCAGCUCGUGUCGUGAGAUGUUGGGUUAAGUCCCGCAACGAGCGCAACCCUUGAUUUUAGUUGCCAGCAUUUAGUUGGGCACUCUAAAGUGACUGCCGGUGCAAGCCGGAGGAAGGUGGGGAUGACGUCAAAUCAUCAUGCCCCUUAUGACCUGGGCUACACACGUGCUACAAUGGAUAGUACAAAGGGUCGCGAAGCCGCGAGGUGGAGCUAAUCCCAUAAAACUAUUCUCAGUUCGGAUUGUAGGCUGCAACUCGCCUACAUGAAGCCGGAAUCGCUAGUAAUCGUGGAUCAGCAUGCCACGGUGAAUACGUUCCCGGGCCUUGUACACACCGCCCGUCACACCACGAGAGUUUGUAACACCCGAAGUCGGUAGGGUAACCUUUAUGGAGCCAGCCGCCGAAGGUGGGACAGAUAAUUGGGGUGAAGUCGUAACAAGGUAGCCGUAUCGGAAGGUGCGGCUGGAUCACCUCCUUUCUAAGGAA